CGUUCAAUCAAAAUUUUUAAGAGAUGAAUCAGUUACUUCUGCUAGGGUUUAUCAUUCAUUCUUCACCCUUCUCCAGAUGAGACAAUCCUUUUUAGCAUUCCUCUUUCCCCCUUCUCUUUUUAUAUAUUGCCGCUUUGUUCUUCUUCUUCACUACUAACUCCGGUCUCGGUCCUUCUCUCGCACCUCUGCCCUUGCGAACUACUCUUCGACGGUGAUGAUGAAUUUUUUUGACCGCACAAAGAAAACGUCUUCUCGCCAGAAGCUUGGUGAAAACCAAUCUAUUGAGACUGCUGAUACUCUUCUGGAUAAAAAAGAUGCCAUUAUCCAAGAGAUGAAUGAGAAGAAAGAGUUUCUUAUAAUUGAAAAGAAUAAGAUGUUAUCAGAGUUUGCCAAACAAGAUGAAGUUGAUGAUUCCCUUGAUGCUUACAUGUCUGGACUUUCAUCCCAACUUGUUCAAGACAAAAGUGUGCAGCUUGAGAAGGAAUUGUCAACUCUUUAGUCCGAGUUGGAUAGGAUUUGCUACUUAUUGAAGAUUGUUGACCCAACAGGCGAAGCUGUCAAGAGAAGGGAGUUGAAAACACAAGAACCCAAAUCAAACAAAUCUCAAGAAGUUGCCUCUAACUUAAAAAAGAAACCACAAGCAAAAACCCAGAAAAUCAGUGAAUCUUGUACUAAGGUCGAUAAGAAGAAACCACUUGUGGAAACCCAGAAUAACAGUGACACUUGUGCAAAGGCAGAUAACUCCAUACAAGAAGGGAAACCUGGAGAUGCAACUAUGGAUUUGGACAAGUCAGAACCUGGAAGUGACAAAGUGGAGGGUGAGAAUGUUGUAUACACGAUUCCAAAGCCCCAGUGGCUUGGGGCUCUAGAGGACAGGGUUACAGAUGAUAACCAACAUCAAUAGCCCAUUUGCAUGAUACGGACGAGUCCAACCAGUUCGUUGACUAUAAGGACAGGAACAAAAUUUUGGGUUCAGGUGAUGCUGCAAAGACUAGAGAAUCUAAUAUUGAGUCUACUGCUCCUGGUCUGAUUUUAAGGAAAAGAAAACAAGUUGAGAUGACAGGUGCAAAUAGUAAUGAUGUCACUCGGCAAUCGACUUCUGCUCCUGUGGGUGAAAAAAUGGCUGAGGAUGUUGUGGCUUUAUUAUAAAGCACAAAAGGGGAUUGUAUGCAACUGAUGAUGUGGAAAACCAAGAUAAGGAGAAGAGGAAGCCUAAAAGAGUGCUUGGGCCUGAGAAACCAUCAUUUUUGAACGAUCAGACAGAUGACACAUGGGUUCCCCCUCAAGGUGAUGGACAAACUUCUUUGAAUGACAAAUAUGGCUACUGAACAGAUUUAUGCAUAACGUUGCCGAUUUCAAGAAAUAAUGGAUAUCGAGGGAGGAUUUGGAAGAACCUGGUAAGAUUCAUUGAACUUGCAGAGUUGGUUGGACAACUCAUUGACCUGCAUCCUUUUAUCAACUGGAAGUGGAAGGAUGACGAUGAGGUUACUUGGUGUUUAAGUUACAACAGUAGUGUAUUUAGCAGACAUGGCAAGUUGAGAUGCACUUUACCAUUGGUACAGCCACAGGAUAUCAGAAUGCUACUAACAAGUAACUUUCUCUUUUUUUUUUUUAAAGUACAGAAUGGAAUCAUUUGGAAAACAAUUUUGUUGCUGCCACUGUAAAGGUUUAUUUGAAGUAGGUAUGUGGUGUUAAGAGGAUUAAUGGAGGGCUCCAUUGUCAUAGGGAAAUGACAUUUCAAUAUUUCAUCAUGUUAAAGGUGGUUUGCAAACAUAGAUGCUUAUGAAAAAUCUUCAUUGUUUUUCCAUAUGCAUGAAGAUGUUUAUUUAAGGAAGGAAAGAUGAGUACUUCAUCUGGUCUCUGAAAUUUCAUGAGCUA